rnacentral:rRNA from 1 species
UCAUUGGAGAGUUUGAUCCUGGCUCAGGACGAACGCUGGCGGCGUGCUUAACACAUGCAAGUCGAACGGAAAGGCCCCUUCGGGGGUACUCGAGUGGCGAACGGGUGAGUAACACGUGAGUAACCUGCCCUUGACUUCGGGAUAACUUCAGGAAACUGGGGCUAAUACCGGAUAGGAAUCCUUGCUGCAUGGUGGGGGUUGGAAAGCUUCGGCGGUUUUGGAUGGACUCGCGGCUUAUCAGCUUGUUGGUGGGGUAGUGGCUUACCAAGGCUUUGACGGGUAGCCGGCCUGAGAGGGCGACCGGCCACAUUGGGACUGAGAUACGGCCCAGACUCCUACGGGAGGCAGCAGUGGGGAAUAUUGCACAAUGGGCGGAAGCCUGAUGCAGCAACGCCGCGUGCGGGAUGACGGCCUUCGGGUUGUAAACCGCUUUC